rnacentral:rRNA from 7 species
GCGGCAGUAGCGCGGUGGUCCCACCUGACCCCAUGCCGAACUCAGAAGUGAAACGCCGUAGCGCCGAUGGUAGUGUGGGGUCUCCCCAUGCGAGAGUAGGGAACUGCCAGAC